GUCUACAGCCAUACCACCCUGAAAGUGUCUGAUCUCAUCUGAUCGUAGAAGCUAAGCAGGGUUGGGCCUGCUUAGAACUUGGAUGGAAGUAAAUAUACUGAAAUGAAGAUUUAGAUU
ensembl:rRNA 5S_rRNA 5S ribosomal RNA